UGUUCGAUGGCUGAGAUAUAAGCAAUAGACUGUAGAUCUAUCAACGGAAUUAAAUUUCCUCAACAA
rnacentral:tRNA from 1 species